rnacentral:rRNA from 1 species
UGCAGUCGAGCGCGCCUUUCGGGGUGAGCGGCGGACGGGUUAGUAACGCGUGGGAACAUACCCUUUGGUACGGAAUAGCCUCUGGAAACGGAGAGUAAUACCGUAUGAGCCCUUCGGGGGAAAGAUUUAUCGCCAAAGGAUUGGCCCGCGUUAGAUUAGGUAGUUGGUGGGGUAAUGGCCUACCAAGCCUACGAUCUAUAGCUGGUUUUAGAGGAUGAUCAGCAACACUGGGACUGAGACACGGCCCAGACUCCUACGGGAGGCAGCAGUGGGGAAUCUUGGACAAUGGGGGCAACCCUGAUCCAGCCAUGCCGCGUGAGUGAUGAAGGCCUUAGGGUCGUAAAGCUCUUUCGCCUGUGAAGAUAAUGACGGUAGCAGGUAAAGAAACCCCGGCUAACUCCGUGCCAGCAGCCGCGGUAAUACGGAGGGGGUUAGCGUUGUUCGGAAUUACUGGGCGUAAAGCGCACGUAGGCGGACUGGAAAGUUGGGGGUGAAAUCCCAGGGCUCAACCCUGGAACUGCCUCC